GGGUGGAUGCUUGUUGGAGCUUUACCAAGCAUCGUCUCGCAAACUUCUGAAGUUUUGGGUCCUUCCUCCACAAAAUUUGCUCAUUGACUCUUCUUUCACUUAGUUGUCACAUCCAAGUAGGUUCGCAUCACUUCCGCUUUCGAUUGGCAUUUCGUUAGGAAAUGAAGCGGACAAUCUACUCUCAGUAGCACUGAUCACCGUUGGUGAGGAUUUGACAACUAUUGUCUUCCAUUAUCUUCGAAGGGUCUUUGAACUUGUGUAGAGCUCCUAUGCUGGAUAGAUAAGAGAAUUG
rnacentral:lncRNA from 1 species